AUGGAGUUAGACACCGGUGGUGCUUGUUCAGUCAUCAAUGUUCACACCUUUAAAAAACUGUUUCCAAACACACUCCUACAUCCUACAAAUAGGCCAUUCUUCAGUUUUACCAAAGAAUCUUUUAAGUGUCUGGGAUAUGCUAAAGUCAAAGUGCAAUUUAGAGGAAAAACCAAGUUUUUGAAUCUAUUUGUUGUCGAUUUUCCUUGCGACAGUAUUUUCGGUCGUGAAUGGAUCGUUCACUUUGCAGAAUUCUUGUCCUUUGAUAAACCUCACAGCGUAAAGCAAGUUCAAACAAGUAACCCCCACUUAACACCUAAUGUUCAACAUCGGUUGCAAAUACUCUUAAACAAACAUCAUCAAAUUUUUGAUGAAACUGCUGGGACAUUAGAAGGUCCUCCUGAAAAAUGGCACUUAGACAAAGAUGCAAAACCAGUUUUCGCUCGGGCUCGCCCACUUCCCUACACUAUGCGUGAGGCUUACGCUCAAAAUAUUGAGAAGAAGUUACUAUCUGGCCACUAUAAAAAAGUCACUCAUUCCAGAUGGGCUUCACCAACUCAUGUAGUAGUGAAAAAUGGGAAACUACGAAUUACUGGCGACUAUAAAUCAACCGUAAAUCCACAGCUGAUAGCAGAUGAAUACCCGAUACCCAAAGUAGAAGAAGUUUUUCAUGGAAUGAAGGAUGCCAAAGUUUUUUGUAAAUUAGAUGUAACUGAUGCCUUUAUGCAUCUCGUUUGUGAUGAUGAAUCGUGUGAAUUGAUGACCCUAAAUACUCCUACUCACGGUCUGAUUAGGCCCACCAGGGCACAAUAUGGGUUAACACCCGUCCCUGCUGUAUGGCAACGUAGGCUCUAUUCGCAUCUUCAAGACAUCGAAGGCGCAACAAAUUUUUUUGAUGAUAUUUUGCUCUAUGCUAGUUCUGUAGAAGAAAUGUUUCUCAUUUUAGCCAAGGUUCUUGAUCGCCUAGAAAAGAUUGGUAUCAAACUCAACCGACGCAAAUGCUAG
rnacentral:lncRNA from 1 species